rnacentral:rRNA from 1 species
UACGUAGGGUGCGAGCGUUGUCCGGAAUUAUUGGGCGUAAAGAGCUCGUAGGCGGUGUGUCACGUCGGCCGUGAAAACCUGCAGCUUAACUGUGGGCGUGCGGUCGAUACGGGCAUCACUGGAGUUCGGUAGGGGAGACUGGAAUUCCUGGUGUAGCGGUGAAAUGCGCAGAUAUCAGGAGGAACACCGGUGGCGAAGGCGGGUCUCUGGGCCGAAACUGACGCUGAGGAGCGAAAGCGUGGGGAGCAAACAGG